rnacentral:rRNA from 1 species
UAACGCGUGGGUAACCUGCCCUGUACACACGGAUAACAUACCGAAAGGUAUGCUAAUACGAGAUAAAAUAUUUUUAUCGCAUGGUAGAAAUAUCAAAGCUUUUGCGGUACAGGAUGGACCCGCGUCUGAUUAGCUAGUUGGUAAGGUAACGGCUUACCAAGGCGACGAUCAGUAGCCGACCUGAGAGGGUGAUCGGCCACAUUGGAACUGAGACACGGUCCAAACUCCUACGGGAGGCAGCAGUGGGGAAUAUUGCACAAUGGGCGAAAGCCUGAUGCAGCAACGCCGCGUGAGCGAUGAAGGCCUUCGGGUCGUAAAGCUCUGUCCUCAAGGAAGAUAAUGACGGUACUUGAGGAGGAAGCCCCGGCUAACUACGUGCCAGCAGCCGCGGUAAUACGUAGGGGGCUAGCGUUAUCCGGAAUUACUGGGCGUAAAGGGUGCGUAGGUGGUUUCUUAAGUCAGAGGUGAAAGGCUACGGCUCAACCGUAGUAAGCCUUUGAAACUGGGGAACUUGAGUGCAGGAGAGGAGAGUGGAAUUCCUAGUGUAGCGGUGAAAUGCGUAGAUAUUAGGAGGAACACCAGUUGCGAAGGCGGCUCUCUGGACUGUAACUGACACUGAGGCACGAAAGCGUGGGGAGCAAACAGGAUUAGAUACCCUGGUAGUCCACGCCGUAAACGAUGAGUACUAGCUGU